rnacentral:Y_RNA from 1 species
GACUGGUCCAAAGGUAGGAAGUUAUCUCAAUUGAUUGUUCAUAGUCAGUUAGAGAUCGAACUCCUUGUUGUACUCUUUCCCCCCCUUUUACUACUGUGCUUGACUAAAAA